rnacentral:rRNA from 1 species
GAUUAACGCUGGCGGCGUGCCUAAUACAUGCAAGUCGAGCGAACGGACGAGAAGCUUGCUUCUCUGAUGUUAGCGGCGGACGGGUGAGUAACACGUGGAUAACCUACCUAUAAGACUGGGAUAACUUCGGGAAACCGUAGCUAAUACCGGAUAAUAUUUUGAACCGCAUGGUUCAAAAGUGAAAGACGGUCUUGCUGUCACUUAUAGAUGGAUCCGCGCUGCAUUAGCUAGUUGGUAAGGUAACGGCUUACCAAGGCAACGAUGCAUAGCCGACCUGAGAGGGUGAUCGGCCACACUGGAACUGAGACACGGUCCAGACUCCUACGGGAGGCAGCAGUAGGGAAUCUUCCGCAAUGGGCGAAAGCCUGACGGAGCAACGCCGCGUGAGUGAUGAAGGUCUUCGGAUCGUAAAACUCUGUUAUUAGGGAAGAACAUAUGUGUAAGUAACUGUGCACAUCUUGACGGUACCUAAUCAGAAAGCCACGGCUAACUACGUG